GCACUACCGUAGAGCUCUGGUGGUCACAGCCCAAAUUAGUGCACUACCAUAGAGCUCUGGUGGUCACAGCCCAAAUUAGUGCACUACCAUAGAGCUCUGGUGGUCACAGCCCAAAUUAGUGCACUACCAUAGAGCUCUGGUGGUCACAGCACAAAGUAGUGCACUACCAUAGAGCUCUGGUGGUCACAGCCCAAAGUAGUGCACUACCAUAGAGCUCUGGUGGUCACAGCCCAAAGUAGUGCACUACCAUAGAGCUCUGGAGGUCACAGCCCAAAGUAGUGCACUACCAUAGAGCUCUGGAGGUCACAGCCCAAAGUAGUGCACUACCGUAGAGCUCUGGAGGUCACAGCCCAAAGUAGUGCACUACCGUAGAGCUCUGGAGGUCACAGCCCAAAGUAGUACACUACCAUAGAGCUCUGGAGGUCACAGCCCAAAGUAGUACACUACCAUAGAGCUCUGGAGGUCACAGCCCAAAGUAGUGCACUACCAUAGAGCUCUGGUGGUCACAGCCCAAAGUAGUGCACUACCAUAGAGCUCUGGUGGUCACAGCCCAAAGUAGUGCACUACCAUAGAGCUCUGGUGGUCACAGCCCAAAGUAGUGCACUAUGUAGGGAAUAGGGUGCCAUAGAGCUCUGGAGGUCACAGCCCAAAGUAGUGCACUAUGUAGGGAAUAGGGUGCCAUAGAGCUCUGGUGGUCACAGCCCAAAGUAGUGCACUAUGUAGGGAAUAGGGGUGCCAUUUGGGACGUAGACACCUUGACCCUGGCUAUCACCACCAGGUGGGGUCAUCUCUCAGGCCAUACAUUCACUUACUGUUUCC